rnacentral:rRNA from 1 species
CCUACGGGAGGCAGCAGUGGGGAAUAUUGCACAAUGGGCGAAAGCCUGAUGCAGCAACGCCGCGUGAGCGAUGAAGGCCUUCGGGUCGUAAAGCUCUGUCCUCAAGGAAGAUAAUGACGGUACUUGAGGAGAAAGCCCCGGCUAACUACGUUCCAGCAGCCGCUGUAAUACGUAGGGGGCUAGCGUUAUCCGGAAUUAAUGGGCGUAAAGGGUGCGUAGGUGGUUUCUUAAGUCAGAGGUGAAAGGCUAGGGCUCAACCGUAGUAAGCCUUUGAAACUGGGGAACUUGAGUGCAGGAGAGGAGAGUGGAAUUCCUAGUGUAGCGGUGAAAUGCGUAGAUAUUAGGAAGAACACCAGUUGCGAAGGCGGCUCUCUGGACUGUAACUGACACUGAGGCACGAAAGCGUGGGGAGCAAACAGGAUUAGAUACCCUAGUAGUC